CAAAGGCUUCGGCCGGUAAAGGAUAGGGAUGCGUCUGAUUAGCUUGCCGGCGGGGUAACGGCCCACCGGGGCGACGAUCAGUAGGGGUUCUGAGAGGAAGGUCCCCCACAUUGGAACUGAGACACGGUCCAAACUCCUACGGGAGGCAGCAGUGAGGAAUAUUGGUCAAUGGGCGCGAGCCUGAACCAGCCAAGUAGCGUGCAGGACGACGGCCCUAUGGGUUGUAAACUGCUUUUAUACGGGGAUAAAGUAUGCCACGUGUGGUUUAUUGCAGGUACCGUAUGAAUAAGGACCGGCUAAUUCCGUGCCAGCAGCCGCGGUAAUACGGAAGGUCCGGGCGUUAUCCGGAUUUAUUGGGUUUAAAGGGAGCGUAGGCCGGGUUUUAAGCGUGCCGUGAAAUGUCGGGGCUCAACCUUGACACUGCGGCGCGAACUGGAGUCCUUGAGUGCGCGGAACGUAUGCGGAAUUCGUGGUGUAGCGGUGAAAUGCUUAGAUAUCACGAAGAACCCCGAUUGCGAAGGCAGCAUACGGCAGCGCUACUGACGCUGAAGCUCGAAGGCGCGGGUAUCGAACAGGAUUAGAUACCCUGGUAGUCCGCGCGGUAAACGAUGGAUGCCCGCUGUUGGCGAUAUAUUGUCA
rnacentral:rRNA from 1 species